UACGGAGGGUGCGAGCGUUGUCCGGAAUCACUGGGCGUAAAGGGCGCGUAGGUGGCUCGUGAAGCGUGCGGUGAAAGUCCGAGGCUCAACCUCGGAUCGGCCGUGCGGACUCGCGGGCUCGAGCGUUGUAGAGGCGGGUGGAAUUCCGGGUGUAGCGGUGGAAUGCGUAGAGAUCCGGAAGAACACCGGUGGCGAAGGCGGCCCGCUGGGCAACUGCUGACGCUGAGGCGCGAAAGCCAGGGGAGCAAACGGG
rnacentral:rRNA from 1 species